rnacentral:rRNA from 1 species
GACAGCAGUCGCCACGGUAAUACGAAGGGUGCAAGCGUUAAUCGGAAUUACUGGGCGUAAAGCGUGCGUAGGCGGUGAGUUAAGUCUGCUGUGAAAUCCCCGGGCUCAACCUGGGAAUGGCAGUGGAUACUGGCUCGCUAGAGUGUGUCAGAGGAUGGUGGAAUUCCCGGUGUAGCAGUGAAAUGCGUAGAGAUCGGAAGGAACAUCUGUGGCGAAGGCGACUAUCUGGGCCAACACUGACACUGAGGCACGAAAGCGUGGGGAGCAAACAGGAUUAGAUACCCCCGUAGUCCCUGUCUCUUAUAC